CAGCUGUAGCUCUCACUCAUUACAAGAUCAGCAGGGAACUGUCUAGGCCUCGGGUUAACUCUUCUGUGUCCUGUUCAAGUUUUCUGUGAGGCAGAAAGAGAAGCCAGAAAGUGCUGGGGGUUGGAACCCAGGGCUUCCCGCAUGCCAGACAAGCACUCUGCCACUGAGCUGCACCCCACUGAGAACACUCUUGUUUUCUAAUGACUGGUCCAAGACGGAACUGAUUUUCUGAAACCAUCAGAUUCUCUCUCCAAGGAACUGAUAUUCAGAGUCAUUUAGCUACUUUCUAAAUAAGGCUGCAGAAGCUGAGGUAAACUGGUCUGCUACUUGCAACCCACAGAGCUAAAAUAAAGCAGCACACAGCAGAAUGAGGAGACUGCUUCUACUCAAGUAUGAAAAAAGAAGUUCAGAUACCACUGGGUUUAUAUCUGUGUAAGGAGAAUAAAUUGGCUGAUUCUAGGUUGGUUUCUUCUUUAUUAAUAAAUAAGAAAUAUAUUUUCAGCAAUUUGCACAAUAAGUCUUCUGUAAGCACCUCAUUUUUAAGUGUUUAGAUUUACUUAAUUUGGUUCAAGUCUCAACUUUGUGUUAUAUUUUACAUAAAUUCAGAUAGUGUUAAUAAGACUCAUUAAAUAAUUCUGAAUAAGAUUUGCAGAAUCUAGCACAUUGUCUAGUAAACAGUGUAAAGCGCUCAUUAAGCAAUAGCUCAUGGUACUUUUCCUUCUUAAAUUAAUUUUCCAUUGAUUGAUUUCUUCAUUUAUUCAGAAAAUAUUCAAAUUGUUUCUUUGUGUGCUGGGUUUGAUAAAGGAGUGGAUAGUCUUGGAUAAGUUUGACUGGAUGCAGGUAAGCAGUAAUAAGGUAAGGGCAUAUGCUAGGGAAAUUAGCAAAGCCUGUUUGUUCAGAUCCUUCUCUGUGUCCCUGGGUCUUCAGAGAUAAAGAUGUUCCUUCCCUCAGUGUAGCAAGGGCCCUUUUCUCAUGAGGGUCUUAUGACCUGCUUAGGAGGAUGGUCAGAAUUUUUUUUCUAGGUUUCAUGGCUUGCUUAGGGGAGAAGGACUGGAAAAUGACAGACCUUCCUGGCUCUUUCGUUUUAUCAAAUUCCCUUAGGUUAAAAAUACUCAGUAUGCCAAGAUACAUAUUUUUAAUAAUAUGUUUUGAAUCCUGUUGGGCUCAGUUAGAAAUGAUCAUCUAUGGAGUUGGUAUUUUAUUGAGAAACCAACAGAGGAGUCACAGCAUCUGUGUGAUAAACGAAU